rnacentral:lncRNA from 1 species
CCUCUUCCCAGGAACCAGAAACCUGUUGGAAGGUGCUGGAAGGCUCCCUGCUUCCUGCCUGGUGCUCAAAGUGCUUGGCGCAGGCAGCACGGGGCCCUCUGUGGGGUGGAGUCAGCCGCACUGCCACCUCAACACCUACAGAACAGCCCCUUGGUCUCCGCACAAGAAGUCGAUUCCCCAGGGCCAGCCCCUGGUGCCCACCUGGGCUUGGGCCCACCGUCGGGCUCAGCUGGUGCCCCAGGCCCCCUGGAGUUCUCCAAGCUCCACCUCUGGAGGGCCUGGCGAUGCUGCCACCCUCGGGGGCCAUGUAACACUUGCACUAGGCAUCGCUCUGUGCUUAACGUGCUAAUAGACUCUCUCACUUCAUCCCAGCGGCCACCUGAUGACCAAUUUAGCAGAAGAGGAGCUGGCAGAGACCGCGUGAGCAGCUGAGCCCCUGAGCGGCAGAGCCGGCGUUCGGUGCCUGCACUAGCCGUCGGGUUCAGAGUUCAUCUGCAGAGCCGUGUUCCCUUCUCGGUGCGGGCCUCAUGCGGUCGGUCUGCACAGCUCCCAGGCAGGCAGAGGCCGUGUCCAGUUCCCUCCUCAUAGAAGC